rnacentral:lncRNA from 1 species
GAUUCUCUCAUGGGUUUGUUUUGUAUUAUGUGUAACAAACAGUAACUGCUCCCUCCGGAUGCUCCUUUGCAGGUAUAUACUUUCUUAUUAUUAUUAUUUUUAAUUAAGGAUAAUGAUUUUGAUUUUAAAAUAUACAAAAAGUUUUGACCAAAAUAUAUAUACAAAAAGUACAAAAGAUUUUCUGUUUUUUUCUUUCACUUCUGAUUUUUAUGAUUUACUAAAUAUCAAAUUUUUUCUUUUUACCAAAUAAUUUUCAAAUAAAUAGUUUUAAAUUUUUAAGUUAACCAAAAUCUUUUUUUUUAAUAUAAUUUUGUUGUAUCUAAGUGUUAAAUUAAAUACGUUGAAAAUAAACCGGACCUAGCAUCCAGUCCCUUUGUGGUCCGUAAGUUUGGUGUAAAAGUUCAACUUGUUUUCGCGUAUAAUAAAUUUAACGCUUGGAUGCUUCAAAAAUAUUAUUUUAUAAAUAUUAUUUUAAGUAAAUUGUAUUGAUUUUUUAAACUAAGGCUGUGAAUGUUUAGGAGAUUUUGAGUGGUUUAUAGAUUAUAGAUUUUAGUUUUUAAUUUUUGAAUUUUACAAAAAAAAUGAAAAUAAAAAUCACGUAGAAGAAAUCUUAAAAACUAUUUAAAUUAGAUUUUUGAUUUUGCUAACAAAUUGGUAAAAAAACUAUCUAAAACUAUAUUUUUACGAAAUCCAUUUUUUCAAAAUCUUCGAUGGCCAUAAAUUGAUUUUCUUAGAAUCUAAAACCAAAAACCAUUUAAAAAUUACAUCCAUUCAAGGUCUAAAAGUUAUCAUUAUACAAAAUGUUUUUUAAAAAAUAGCUUGAACAAUACUAAUAUACACCAAAGAUGGUAUAUUAAAAAUCUGUCGUUUUCUAAAACAAGCAGCAAAACAAAUCCGUCUUGAACAUAUCUUGUUAAUCCUCUGUUUAAUUAUAGCCAUCUCUUUAUUAAACUGCCAAAACCAGAUUGAUUCAUUAAAUUAAGCUCUGUUCCACUAUACGCUCUGUUUUGCUUGUU